rnacentral:rRNA from 1 species
CGUAGGUGACCUGCGGAAGGAUCAUUACCGAGAUAGGGUCUUCUGGGCCCGAACCUCCCACCCUUGUAUACUUAUCUUUGUUGCUUUGGCGGGCCGCGGGGUCCCCGGACCCCCCGUCGACCACGGUGGACGAGCGCCCGUCAGAGACCCAUAAACCCGUUAAAUCAGUGAUGUCCGAGUAUGAUGUAAUAGUUAAAACUUUCAACAACGGAUCUCUUGGUUCUGGCAUCGAUGAAGAACGCAGCGAAAUGCGAUAAGUAAUGUGAAUUGCAGAAUUCAGUGAAUCAUCGAAUCUUUGAACGCACAUUGCGCCCUCUGGUAUUCCGGGGGGCAUGCCUGUUCGAGCGUCAUUACACCCCUCAAGCAUUGCUUGGUAUUGGGCGAUCGUCCCCCCCGGGGCGCGUCCGAAAGUUAGCGGCGACGCGUUCGGUCUCCAUGCGUAGUAAAACUUCUGUUUCGCAUCUGCAGCCCGGGCGUGUUGGCCGGACAACCCCUUUAUUUUUCAACAGUUGACCUCGGAUCAGGUAGGGAUACCCGCUGAACUUAAGCAUAUCAAUAAGCGGAGGAAAAGAAACCAACAGGGAUUGCCUCAGUAACGGCGAGUGAAGCGGCAACAGCUCAAAUUU